CAUUGCUGCUCCAUGGAAGAUCUGGGAAAAAUAUGGGAACACUUAAAAUAGGAACUAAAGGGUGAAUACCUCCACCAGAAGGAAUUACCAUUAGUUUGGGAAUUACUGGUAGCACUCUGGAGGGGAGCACCUGGAGGAGGAUGAGGAAGGGUUUAUUUGAGCCGUGGAAUGAGCAGAGGAGACAGUGUAAUGAGGAGAAGACGGGCUGGAGAUCCAUGAUUUUGCCUCCACUAUGGGCCACAGGAUGUCCUUGUGGAGGCCAGAGGCACCUUCCCACACACCAGGAAAUGUGCUGCUGCACUGUGGGAAUGUGAUGGGGUUUUGUGAAAAUAAAGGACUAAGUAGAGCAGAGAGCCCCUCUUCUCUUAUCCUCUGCAGCACUGACUACAAGAGCUUGGCUGCUA
rnacentral:lncRNA from 1 species